AGAUGUAGGGGCCGUGUGUGGUGGUUAUGCGUGGGUGGGUGGCGUUGGUCGGAUGUAUUGGGCGUAAAGGGCUCGUAUGUGGUUCGGUAAGUCGGAUGUGAAAGCUCCAGGCUCAACCUGGAGGGGUCAGUCGAUACUGCCGUGACUAGAGUUCGGUAGGGGAGUGUGGAAUUCCUGGUGGAGCGGUGAAAUGCGCAGAUAUCAGGAGGAACACCCGUAGCGAAGGCGGCACUCUGGGCCGAUACUGACACUGAGGAGCGAAAGCGUGGGGAGCGAACAGGAUUAGAUACCCCAGUAGUC
rnacentral:rRNA from 1 species